CAGAGGAGGAUGAACACUUCCACACCUUCUCCCUGUACCAGAGUCACCUGUACAGACACAACUCCCAGGAGAGCCUGCAGUCCAACAACCCACAACAGAUCACUGACCUGAACAGGCGCAUGUCGGCUGUGGAGUCUCUGCUGAACCGACUGGAGCAGAAAGUCACCUCCACUCCUGACCAGCUCUCUCUGCAGACCCAGACUCCCAGCAGCGUGUCCCCUGUGCCCGAUUGGGAGGUUGAACUGGAAGAGCAACAACUCAGACAGAAACUGAGCGAAAUGACCAACAAUAUCAGUGACCACAGCCUCAGUGACGAAGACGAAGAGGAGGAGGAGAACCAGACCAGCCGCCCUCUGUCCUCCCUGGACAUCCCGGCCUGGAGAAGCCCUCUGCAGGGGGACGCUUUCAUCAGCAGGAUUCCUACCAGACCCUCCUCCAGACUCAGCAGUGUCAGCAUGGGGGUCAAAACUGAGGAGAACGCACAGCAACAAGGAGAAGAGGCCAAGAUACCCCAGUUCUCUGACAGCCUGGACCGUAAGUCUGCGUCUCUCAGAGGGUCCACGGCUCUUCUGUUCGAGCUCGAAGAUAAAGUGGCUCAGGCAGCGGCCGAUGUCCAGAACACACAGAGUCAGGUCUCCUACAUAGAAAACAAGAUAGCUGCGCUGAACGCUGCUGGAAUGCCCAUCGACAAAAGGAGGAAGUCCGCGAUCCCAGUCCAGACUCGGAGACUGUCCCAGAACUAUCCCACAA
ensembl:lncRNA